GAUGAACGCUGGCGGCGUGCCUAAUACAUGCAAGUCGAGCGAACAGACGAGGAGCUUGCUCCUCUGACGUUAGCGGCGGACGGGUGAGUAACACGUGGAUAACCUACCUAUAAGACUGGGAUAACUUCGGGAAACCGGAGCUAAUACCGGAUAAUAUAUUGAACCGCAUGGUUCAAUAGUGAAAGACGGUUUUGCUGUCACUUAUAGAUGGAUCCGCGCCGCAUUAGCUAGUUGGUAAGGUAACGGCUUACCAAGGCAACGAUGCGUAGCCGACCUGAGAGGGGGGGAGUGCACAAGUAAGCAAUGGCACGGACCGGACGAAUGCGUGAGGCAGCAGGGGGGAGUGAGGGGUGAUGGGCGAGAGCCUGAAAGAGAAAGUGAUCGGGAAUGAUGAAAGUCUUAUGAAAGUAUAACCCUCUUGUUAGGACAGAAAAAAUGAGCAAGGGACUACGCAGGGCAAGACGGCGCCUAAACAGAGAGCCGCGCCUACCUAGGUC
rnacentral:rRNA from 1 species